UGAGGGCAUUAGUGACUUGCUAGAAGUGAAGGCUGGUGAGUGAAGGUAAUAUUUAGGAGGGAGGAGAGAGAGAGGGAGUAAAGAGAGGAGAGAGAGAGGGAAGAGGAGAGAGAGGGAAAGAGAGAGAGAGAGGGAGGAAGCAGUGCUUGAGAUGUGAAGAGGAGCUAAAAUAUAAUCACCAAACAUCCGCACACAACACUACACUUUGGUUCUGGUUCCCUCUCUAAAGGCAUGGUGGCUUCAUGUCCUGUCAUCCUGGCUGCCUGUUCAGUUUGGUCCCCAGAUGUGGGAUGUGCUUUCCAUCACGUUUGUUUUUUAACUAUGGUAACAACGCCAUUCCAGUCCAGCUGCAGCUCUAGAAGAUGACGCCAUUUUGUGAGGUUCUCAUUUUCGUGUCAGCACCACAGGGGUGCAAAGUUAUAUCUAAAAUGGCCUCUAACGCGUCAGCAUAUCAGCUUUCGGUUUUCGUAGGAAAACAGCUUCAGUUGUAAUUCUGUCCUAGUUACCUGUACUACUUUUAUCAUUAUUGGUCUUAUGAACAUGUUUUAUUCUGUAAUCUGUAACACACCAUAGUCUGAGAAAUUUAAAUAAACUUGAUUAAUGGAUACUGUGUAUCCGGAGGUAGAAGUUGAACAACAUAAUGUAGUUUAGGUUAGAGUUUAGGUUUCUGUACCUUUCUAAAGGACAAAAGAAAAAAAUAAAAUUAAAAAAAUAAUGUCAUUGUUAAAACGGUAUAAUUGAUGAUUACGAUUAUUAGUAUUAUUAAUAUUAUUAUUAUUAUUAUUAUUAGCAGCCAGCAAAGCCUUGGUGUAUAUAGUGUUUGAUAUUAAAGUAUUAAUUUGAUUCUUAUGUCUUUUAUAAAACAACAACAACCGCAAAAGUCUUUGGAUGUGAGGGUACACAGGUACUCUGUUGCCCCAAGAGGACAAGGGGAUGUGUGUACCUGCGCACACACACACAUGCUUAACUUGUCAACCGCAGGAUGGACAUUAGCCAAUGGGGUCUCACCUGCUACGUGUCUCCAACCAAUCACGGCCAUCUCCGACACCUCACCUCAGAACUCAUUGUGGAGGAAGGAACCUGGACUAAAAAUGACAUCACAUCCUGUGAUAUUUCCUUAUUUGAAGACAGCGUUCAAAAGCAUGCGGGCCAAGAAAGAGUUUACCCCAGGAAUGGACGGAUUGGAUUUUUUAUUCGUCUUGGAAGGAUAUUGCCUGUUUCAUAAAUGCAUGGACUUGAUUAACAAAACAUUUAUAACGAAAAAAAAAAAAAAAAAAGAAAGUUUGUUCUUUUCUCUUUCCAACUCUGUUGAAUGUUUUUUUCCCAGCCGUUUUCAUAUAGCGUGUUUUGCAUCUCAUUAUGCCGAGUUUGUUAGCCAACGACAGAGAGAACAAGUGUGUACAGAACAAGAAAGGCUUUUGUUGUGGAGUUAUGGAGAGAGAGAGAUAGAGAGAGAGAGAGAAGAGAGAUAGAGAGAGAGAAGAGAGAGAAGAGAGAGAAGAGAGAGAGAGAGAGAGAGAGAGAAGAGAGAGAGGCGUAGCAGACAGAACUGUAAACAUGCUUGUUGUUUCUGUUUUCCUGUUUUAAAUGAACCUCCUCUUCUACUGUGUUCCUGCCUCCUAGCGUGUUCCUCUGUUCAUGGAGAGCUCGCUGGAUACUCCUGUGUGUGUGUGUGUGUGUUUUUGCACCAGUGUGCUGUGUCUGGUUGUCUGCUCCUAAGCAGAGUGCUGUUUCCAUGCCUUAGCCUCCUUAGCCCCUCACCCCAACCCUCACCCUCCCUCCCUCCCUCCCUGUCUCUUCAAAGGCAACUUUCUUUUUGCUUCCCUUAAAUCUCCAAAUCCCCUGCCCCCCCACACCCCGCCUUACCCCGCCCCCACAAGCGUCUGGGUAGAAGUUUCUGAUCUAGGCUGCCCCCUUCCUCCCUCCCCUUCUAUCCUUGAAUUAUGUCUGGAAAUCCAAAAAACAAAAUCCCAGAUCAAUAAAAGUGAUCAAUAUGAGUUAGGCUAGCAUCAGCGCUGUCCUCACACACUCUCCUCUGGCCUGUGUCCUUACUUAGUCCUGCUCAUUAAUGUGUGUGUGUGUGUGCAUCCUGUUUCAUCUACCACUGUUUUUGACUCCCCCACGCCUCUCUCUCCUCCUUCUCUCCCUCCUUCUCUCCAUCCCUCCUUUCUCCUUUCCAAUGAUGGUGCCCCCUUUUCCAGUUUAGAACAUUUUGAAAGAAAAAAUUGACAAAAAACAUUGAAGUAAAAAAACAAAACAAUCAACAGGUCUGUAAAUACACAUGUCUGAGCAUCAUCCAUGAAACAAUAUUAAUAAAAUGGAAAUUCAUUA